AUGGCUUACGAAAUCGUGACCGUGGCGAGUGGGGUGAUGGACCCCCUCAUCGGCAAGCUCAACGCGCUGAUGGGAGAAGAGUACGGCAAGUUCACAGGGGUCAGGAAGCAGGCCUCGUUCCUCGAGAAGGAACUCAGCGCCAUGAAGGCUGUUCUUCACAAGUUGGAGCUCGUGGAUGAGCUCGACCCAACCGCCAAGGACUGGGUGGAUCAUGUUAGGGAUAUGUCCUAUGACAUGGAGAAUUGUAUCGACGACUUCAUGCACCAAUUUCGAGCUGAUGAUGCCAAGGCAGGCUUCAUAGAGAAGAUUACUCAAUUCAUCAAGAAGUUUCGACAACGCCUUCGAAUAGCCGACCGAAUGGAAGAGCUCAAGACUCUUGCCUUGGAGGCAAAUGAUCGGCGCGAGAGGUAUAAGAUUGAUGAUUGGAAGCCUGCAUCUAGCUCUGUCGUUGUUGACCCUCGGCUGCGAGCGAUAUACCAGGAGGCGGAUACUCUCGUUGGCAUUGAUGGCCAAAGGGAGGAGGUUGUGACUCAGUUGAUGGAUACUCAGAAGAAACUCAAGGUGGUGUCAGUUGUUGGAUUUGGUGGUCUUGGUAAAACUACACUUGCCAAGCAGGUGUAUGACAAGAUUGACUCGCAAUUCGAUUGCAAGGCAUUCUUUUCAGUUUCACAGAGGCCUGAUAUGAGUGAGCUACUCAACAAUUUACAAUAUAAACUAGGGAUGAACAACCCUGUCUCGUCUCGUCCUCGUAAGGUUGACGACAUCAUUAAAGAGAUAAGGAAUUAUCUGAAAGAGAAAAGGUACCUUAUUGUUGUUGACGAUGUGUGGGAUGAAUCAGCAUGGUACAUUAUUAAGUGCGUGUUUCCAGAAGAGGGUAAUGGAAGUAGAGUAAUAGUCACAACGCGAGUGGAAGUUGUGGCUGGUGCAGCCUGUCAGAAUGACCGUGAGGGCAUCUACAAAUUGGAACCUCUCAGCGAAGAAAACUCAAGAAUGUUAUUGUUGAACAGAGUAUUUGGGUCCGAACAUGGUUGUCCACCCCAAUUGGAACAAGUCAUGACUGAGAUUUUAAAGAAGUGUCAUGGGCUGCCUCUUGCAAUUAUCACAAUAGGUAGCCUAUUAGCCAGUCAAGAAAGAUCAAGGAAGGGCUGGGAGGGUAUAAGGGAUUCUCUGGGUGCCCACUCUGCCACAAAUCCCUCCUUGGAAGAGAUGAAGAGUAUAUUAAACCUUAGCUACAUGCAUCUUCCUGCUUACCUGCGGGCUUGUUUUUUAUACCUUGGUAUGUAUGUUGAGGACUAUGUGAUCUCACGGGACGAUCUUGUUCGACAAUGGAUAGCUGAAGGCCUUGUAGGUAAUUUGCAGGGGCAAAAUAUGGAGGAUGUAGGCAGGAGUUAUUUCAAUGAGCUUAUCAAUAGAAGCAUGAUUCAGCCUUGGAAAACAGAGUAUGGAGAGGUGUUUUCUUGCAAAGUACAUGAUCUGAUGCUUGAUUUAAUCCUAAGCAAGUGUGAUAAAGAUAAUUUUGUAAGUGUGGCAUACAAUUAUGAAGACAUGGCAAGACUGCAUGCCAGCAAAUACAAGGUCCGGCGAUUAUCUCUGAGCUCGAUGGCUGGUGGUGGAGCAACAUAUGGACCAACUAUUACUGUUAACCUAUCACAAGUUCGGUCCUUUACACUGUUGGGGAAAUCCAUGCCUCCUCUUGUGCUGUUCAAGUAUCUCCGGGUGCUCAGGAUUGAUCAAGGAAGGACCAUGGAAGACGAGGAUAUCCUUGACCUCACCGCUAUUAGCCAAUUGUUUCAGCUCAGGUAUUUGUAUGUUUCUGGACCAAAAUUUGUGCAGCUCCCUGCUGAACUUCAAGGGCUUGUUUACUUGGAGACGUUGCACAUUGAUUCAGAGCUCAAGAGCAUUCCCUCAGAUAUAGUCCAUUUGUCCCGCUUGUCCUAUCUUCAUAUUGGGUAUUGCAACCACGGACUGCUGUCUGAAUGGAUUGGGAAUAUGAAAUCACUGAACAGUCUGAGAAUGCCGUUAGGCAUGAGGACCGGUCAGAGGGAAGAUUUGAAUGGGAUGAACGGCAUUAUGGGUCUCGGUGAGCUGACCAAUCUCAGGGACCUAACAAUCAGUCUGUGGUGUUUGGAGGAGCCAGAACUUGAUGCUUUGGUCUGCUCCAUUGGAAAGCUCUGUAACCUCAAACAUCUUCGAAUCUUAGGGUUUUAUCCUAAAAUCGACAUCCAGAUGAGCUCAUUAUCUAAUCCUUUCCAACACAUCGAGAAAAUUAGCGUGCUUGUGUUGAAUUUCCCUAGAGUUCCCAUAUGGAUGGGUGGUCUCCAUUGCCUUCGCGUCCUCGACCUGCGUGUGGAGGAGACCUCAACUGGCGAGGUUCGUCUUCUUGGAGAGCUUCCCUCCCUCGUCAAUCUCAGAUUCUGUCCGUCACAUAUCCCUAAAGAAAGGGCUAUACUAGGCACGGGACUAUUCCCCGUUCUGGAGUACUUCGGAUUUUGGAGUGAGGAAGACGCUAUGGCAUACCUGGGAUUCGAGGCGGGGGCCAUGCCCAACCUACAAACGCUCUCUCUCCAAACCAGGAAGUGGGGUGGCGGCACACCAGUUGGCAUGGAGCACCUGUUACGCCUCCAGAAGAUCCAUCUGUGUGGUGUUGACUCCGGUGAUGCCACCAUAGUGUCUGCUUUCAGGAACGCCUUAUCAGCGCACCCAAACCGCCGUUCCAUUGAAAACUUUUGGUAG
rnacentral:rRNA from 1 species